rnacentral:rRNA from 1 species
GACGAACGCUGGCGGCGUGCCUAAUACAUGCAAGUAGAACGCUGAAGGAGGAGCUUGCUUCUCUGGAUGAGUUGCGAACGGGUGAGUAACGCGUAGGUAACCUGCCUGGUAGCGGGGGAUAACUAUUGGAAACGAUAGCUAAUACCGCAUAACAGUAGAUAUCGCAUGAUAUCUACUUGAAAGGUGCAAUUGCAUCACUACCAGAUGGACCUGCGUUGUAUUAGCUAGUUGGUGAGGUAACGGCUCACCAAGGCGACGAUACAUAGCCGACCUGAGAGGGUGAUCGGCCACACUGGGACGGAGACACGGCCCAGACUCCUACGGGAGGCAGCAGUAGGGAAUCUUCGGCAAUGGACGGAAGUCUGACCGAGCAACGCCGCGUGAGUGAAGAAGGUUUUCGGAUCGUAAAGCUCUGUUGUAAGAGAAGAACGAGUGUGAGAGUGGAAAGUUCACACUGUGACGGUAUCUUACCAGAAAGGGACGGCUAACUACGUG